UUAGGUUAAGUUGGGCCAUACAGGUUUAGUAUGUAUUGGGUUACUGUAAUAUGGACUUUUGGACAUUUAAUUUUUUGUUUGGUUUAUAUCUAUUAUUUUAAAAUUGUUUUUUAUAUUUCUGAUUUGGGCUGGGCAAAUUUGGGUUGUUACAAUUCUUUUAUUUUAUUUUUUCUUCAUAAAUAUGUAUGUACGUAUACAUUUUAUAAUGUUUAUACAAUUUCCAUAUUUUAUAAUCCAUACAUAUAUAUACAUUUUUUUAUAAUAUAUAUAUUCAUACACUAUUCAAAAUUAUUAUAAAUAUAUUUUUCGCGUUUUUUUAUAUUUUC
rnacentral:lncRNA from 1 species